rnacentral:rRNA from 1 species
UACGUAGGGGGCAAGCGUUGUCCGGAUUUAUUGGGCGUAAAGAGCGUGUAGGCGGCCAUACAGGUCAGCUGUGAAAACUCGAGGCUCAACCUCGAGACGUCGGUUGAAACCGUUUGGCUAGAGUCCGGAAGAGGAGAGUGGAAUUCCCGGUGUAGCAGUGAAAUGCGUAGAGAUCGGGAGGAACACCAGUGGCGAAGGCGGCUACCUGGACCAGCACUGACACUGAAGCACGAAAGCGUGGGGAGCAAACAGG